CGUCUGUUUCGAGUAAGAGGAAGAAGAAGGGACACGCUUGGUACGAAACAUCAUGUAACCGACAGGUAAAACCACUCCUAUAAUCAUUAUCGCUGCCCCAAUUAUGUAUCUUAACGGACUCGGCGGCUCCACCUCCAUUAUUCUCCGGUAAGGCAGUUUUCUUCAAUGUUCUCUUUGUUUGGAUGGUGCAGCUUCAAGCGAUCGAGAGUAACUGCGAAUAGGAAGCAAGGACUGGGGAAUCCGCUUGCUUGGUACUUGCACUUCAAUGGCGAUUUCUA
rnacentral:misc_RNA from 1 species